AACGAACGCUGGCGGCAGGCUUAACACAUGCAAGUCGAACGCAUCGCAAGAUGAGUGGCAGACGGGUGAGUAACGCGUGGGAACAUACCCUUUUCUACGGAAUAGCUCUGGGAAACUGGAAUUAAUACCGUAUACGCCCUACGGGGGAAAGAUUUAUCGGGGAAGGAUUGGCCCGCGUUGGAUUAGCUAGUUGGUGGGGUAAAGGCCUACCAAGGCGACGAUCCAUAGCUGGUCUGAGAGGAUGAUCAGCCACAUUGGGACUGAGACACGGCCCAAACUCCUACGGGAGGCAGCAGUGGGGAAUAUUGGACAAUGGGCGCAAGCCUGAUCCAGCCAUGCCGCGUGAGUGAUGAAGGCCUUAGGGUUGUAAAGCUCUUUCACCGAUGAAGAUAAUGACGGUAGUCGGAGAAGAAGCCCCGGCUAACUUCGUGCCAGCAGCCGCCGUAAGAC
rnacentral:rRNA from 1 species